UACGUAGGGUGCGAGCGUUUAAUCGGAAUUACUGGGCGUAAAGCGUGCGCAGGCGGUUCGUUGUGUCGGCGGUGAAAGCCCCGGGCUUAACCUGGGAAUGGCCGUUGAAACUGGCGAACUGGAGUGUGGCGGAGGGGGGUGGAAUUCCGCGUGUAGCAGUGAAAUGCGUAGAGAUGCGGAGGAACACCGAUGGCGAAGGCAGCCCCCUGGGCUAACACUGACGCUCAGGCACGAAAGCGUGGGGAGCAAACAGG
rnacentral:rRNA from 1 species